rnacentral:lncRNA from 1 species
UUACGAUUCUGAACUUAUGGUUUUAGUGAAGGAGCCUAGCUGUGUUCUUAAAAAUUUUGGCUGUUAGUUUGAGCGCGGCUCUGGAAUUCAUUCUUCCGAAACCGUCGCAAAGUAGUUAAACGGUUCAAAUGUUGUGUUUUCUGUGAUAGUUUACGUACCUGUUUUACAAAGUCGAUUAUUUUUGUUGGGUUUUCCUGAGCUCCAAGGAUUGCAGCCAUGAAAACAUUCACUAAGGUGUGAUGGGGCACAAACAAUAAAGAUCCAAGAUACAAAAAAUUGAAUAAUUCUGUGAAGCAAAUGUGUGAAAUGAAAUAAGAAAGAUAAAAAUGUGAGUAUUAAUGCAUGAGUGACGAAUUCUGAAAAUCUAGAAUAUUCGAGGGCCUAAAAUGGCCU